rnacentral:rRNA from 1 species
UACGUAGGGGGCAAGCGUUGUCCGGAUUUAUUGGGCGUAAAGCGCUCGCAGGUGGUUCAUUGCGUCGUGCGUGAAAGACCCCGGCUCAACUGGGGAGGGUCGUGCGAAACGGGUGAACUAGAGGCCAGUAGGGGGAUGCGGAAUUCCGGGUGUAGUGGUGGAAUGCGUAGAGAUCCGGAGGAACACCAGCGGCGAAGGCGGCAUCCUGGACUGGUCCUGACACUGAGAAGCGAAAGCGUGGGGAGCGAACAGG